UUGGGUCAUUUGAAAAAAGUAAGUCCUAUAUAGGCCCUGAUGCCCGUUGGUACCGGUGCUUAUCUCAGGAUUCCAUAGCAUCAAGC